CUAGCCGGCCAUAGCAUGCGGGAUCGACCUGGACUCAUUCCGAACCCAGAAGUCAAACCGCAUGUCGCCGUCAUAUUAGUGAGGUGCGUGAGCCCUCGUGAGGUGGCGGUGCUGGCACCU
rnacentral:rRNA from 1 species